UGAAUCACUCCCACUCUCGGAGCUGUGAAACCACCUCUCGCUCCUCCUCUUCGAUCUCUCGCUCCGCCUCUUCGACCUCUCGUUCCGCCUCUUUGAUCUCACGGUUCGCAAAUUGAAACCACAAUCCAGUAUUCUCACUCUCAUUCCAGCUUGCGUUGUCUCGCCUCUGGUUCAUUCUCUUGCGUCGUCGUCUUCUCGCUUGCACCGCUAUCUUCUCAUCGGUUUCAUCGUCUGCUCGUCCCACGGCCUAACAUGGUGGACUUGCUGUCAAAUAGUGAUAAGGUAUGAUCUCCUACUAUUUCUCUAAUUUAUUUCUAUUUUUCCCCUUGAAAAAUAGCAGAUUAGGUAUUUUCUUUACUGAAAUGUGGAAGAAAGAAAAUAUAUCUUUUUGUUAUGUUUUUCCAUUCUAACAAAUGUCCUUCUAUUCUUGUUUGAGAUCAAUUAAUUAUUCUUCUUUAAAGCUGCUUCUGUUGUUAUUCAAAUCCUUUUGAAUUUAUUAUUUGUAUUUACACACUUUUUCUGACAUGCUACCACGAUGAGUUCUAUUUUCUUUUUAUUUCAGUAGACUCUAGUUAUGUUUUCUCCUCUUUUACCUCUUUAGUUUUGUUUGAAUAUUUUGACAAAUAGAAUUGGAAUCUGUGUAAUCCCAAAUCUUCAAUUUUAUUGCUCCUGGCAUAGAAGGACUCGUAUAUAGUUCUUUAUUACACAGCCUAUUCUAUCUGGAUGCUCUGUUGGAGGAUUGGCUGCUAUAUUGAAAUGCGUGCCAGAUGCCGGCUAUUUUAUCCAUAUACCAGAUGUCUCCGGAACAAAGCACAUUGAAAAUUUUUACAAAGGAGUUGUUGAAACUCAUGGAUCAACAAAGUAUUUGUCCAAGUCCUGCACUUCAAAAUAUGGUGCUGGCCUGGUAAGUCUAUGAUUGAUUUAUGUAACUGUGCAAGCAAGAAGCACAUUAUUAGUGUAAAGCACAUGGUCUCUUUAAAGCACUAGACCUAUUUAUCAUCCACACAUUAUUAGUGCAAAGCACAUGGUCUCUUCAAAUCACUAGACCUAUAUGCAUUAUCUAGCAUUCUUUGCCAUGCAUUACCAGCAAUAUUACUCUCAAAACUUUGAGUCAGUUCUUGGCUAUUGGUAAGGUAAAACUUGAAAAUACCAUCUUUGAAAUCUGAUGUAAGUUUAAUGUCAAAUCCUGAACUUGACACUCUCCUAAUAGAUGGGCAAUCAAAUGCCACAAAGUGUUCUAAAAAUGGUGGAAGGCCUGCGAUAUUUUCAAGCUUCUUGCAAUCACUUAAAUCCAGUGAUUUCAAGCUUGAAAGAUGAGCAAUACUCUCAGGAAGGUUCACAAUGCUGCUUUCGUGCAGCGACAAUUCCCUUAAUGAUGACAAGUUUCCAAUGUCACUAGGAAGUUCUGAGAGUUUCUCACAGCCAAAAAAAUCAAGCUUGGAGAGAAAGUUUAGAUUACCAAUGUUGUUUGGAAGAAACUCAAGAUCUUUGCACAAGUUGAGCUGUAAGGUUUGAAGCCCAACCAAAUAAGCCAAGGAUGAGGGUAUUUUUUUAAUUGCUGUUUUUUCCAAGUUCAUGUGAGCAAAAGAUUCUGAAGGUUCUAUGAUCUCUGGUAAAGUCUUUAGCAUUGAGCAGCCAUGCAAAUCAAGUUGUCAACUUCAGGUUAAAAAUGCUGCUAGGAAGUGAUUCAAGUGCUUCACAGUAGGUAAGAUCAAGAAUGCAGAGUUUGCUGAGACGUCCAAUUAAAGAUGGAAUGAACACAAGGCUUCUGCAACCAUACAAGCUCAACUCCUCAAGACCUACCAAAUUUUGCAUUGUUGAAGGGAGCUUCUCGGGAUUUGAGCAGCCACGAAGAUAUAAUUUUCUUAGCUAUUUCAGCUUAAAAAGGUUAAUUGGAAAGGAUGUGAGUGAUUCACAGUAAGAGAGAUCUAACCAACAAAGCUCUGAGAGACUUGAAAAUAAUGAUGAAGAAAUUUGUUCUGCAGAAAUUGGUGGUAUUUCCUCUCAAACUUCAGAAUUUGUGGCUUUUGAAUAAUUAUAUGGGAAACUGUUUGGAUAAGAGGUGAAUGGUUGGAAAGUGAAAACUUUACUUGGGAUUCCAGACCACCUGCAGAGAUGAACUUGGUUGACUGGUUUAAGGGAAUGGUAAUAAGUCGUCGUAGCGAUGAGCUAGUCAAGCAGAUAAAUACAUUUUUCUAGGAUUAGUACAAGGAUUAAGUUUUUUAUGUACAUAGUAUCACUUUUUCUUUUCUUUUUUAUAUGGAAUGUUUAUAGAGUUUAAGUGCUAUAAGUAUUUUUUUUUUCCAUUUUAUUUGCAUCAUGAAGCAAAUUUGUACAAUGAUUAUUGAUUAAUA